rnacentral:rRNA from 1 species
UGGGGAAUAUUGCACAAUGGGCGCAAGCCUGAUGCAGCCAUGCCGCGUGUAUGAAGAAGGCCUUCGGGUUGUAAAGUACUUUCAGCGGGGAGGAAGGGAGUAAAGUUAAUACCUUUGCUCAUUGACGUUACCCGCAGAAGAAGCACCGGCUAACUCCGUGCCAGCAGCCGCGGUAAUACGGAGGGUGCAAGCGUUAAUCGGAAUUACUGGGCGUAAAGCGCACGCAGGCGGUUUGUUAAGUCAGAUGUGAAAUCCCCGGGCUCAACCUGGGAACUGCAUCUGAUACUGGCAAGCUUGAGUCUCGUAGAGGGGGGGAGAAUUCCAGGUGUAGCGGUGAAAUGCGUAGAGAUCUGGGGGAAUACCGGUGGCGAAGGCGGCCCCCUGGACGAAGACUGACGCUCAGGUGCGAAAGCGUGGGGAGCAAACAGG